rnacentral:tRNA from 1 species
UAUGUUGUAGCUCAGUGGUAGAGCACUUAUCUAGCAUAUGUGAAGCUCUGGGUUCUACUCCCAGCACCAAAA